rnacentral:rRNA from 1 species
CUCCCAAACCCAAUGUGAACGUUACCAAACUGUUGCCUCGGCGGGGUCACGCCCCGGGUGCGUAAAAGCCCCGGAACCAGGCGCCCGCCGGAGGAACCAACCAAACUCUUUCUGUAGUCCCCUCGCGGACGUAUUUCUUACAGCUCUGAGCAAAAAUUCAAAAUGAAUCAAAACUUUCAACAACGGAUCUCUUGGUUCUGGCAUCGAUGAAGAACGCAGCGAAAUGCGAUAAGUAAUGUGAAUUGCAGAAUUCAGUGAAUCAUCGAAUCUUUGAACGCACAUUGCGCCCGCCAGUAUUCUGGCGGGCAUGCCUGUCCGAGCGUCAUUUCAACCCUCGAACCCCUCCGGGGGAUCGGCGUUGGGGAUCGGGACCCCUCACCGGGUGCCGGCCCUGAAAUACAGUGGCGGUCUCGCCGCAGCCUCUCCUGCGCAGUAGUUUGCACAACUCGCACCGGGAGCGCGGCGCGUCCACGUCCGUAAAACACCCAACUUCUGAAAUGUUGACCUCGGAUCAGGUAGGAAUACCCGCUG